UAUGCAUUGCGUAGGGUCAUCUAGAUUCUUGGUACUGGAGAAACUUGCAGGGGUUCACCUGCAUUUAUCACUGCAAAUCACAGUUUAGUUAGUAAACCCCAUUGUUAUCAUUCUGACGUGUGCCAUCUCCUCACUUGGAUGUUAGGUGACAUAUUAACUACUGCAAAUAUAACUGGUGCAUUACUAUAUUUUUCAUUUUAUUUGACAUUUUUUCAAAACUUGAGCCUACACAAUUUUGUAAUUGUUGGCUAAUGCAUUUAUAUAUGUUAUAGGCUAGCCAAUGCAUAAAGCCAAUGGUAAGAAUGGAAAUUUACAGGUCUUAUUGUGUGAACUAAUACAGUUCCAUUACAAAGUGCCAAAGUACAAUGAAAGUAUGAAAGUAAAUCAGCUGCGUCAAAUUAUUAAUGGUUGGGAAUGUAUAUAUUCAUCCUAUUAGUACGAGUUCACAAGUACAUUGUGUAAAACAGUGCAAUGUUAAAUCUAUACAUAAAAGAGCUUUACAGAAAUUAUUUUAUCUGAUGAGCAACCAAUUGGAGUGAGAGUGCAUAAUUUGUAUUGGCAGCAUACAGCGUUCUAAAACACUGGUAUAAAGACUUGAACGUUAAUCACAAAUACUGUAUUUCUAUGAUAAGGAAGACAUCACCAAAUUCACAGGGCCAGUCAUGUGUGUAGAAUGUAUUAGGCGCUAUGUUUUGUUUUGAAGAAGCAUAUAUACAUCUCCUGUAUAAGCUGAUUAAGCUUCUGUAAGUGCCAGGCAUACUAUAAGUGCGUACAUGCAUGUGUCUGGAAAUAUAUAUAUAUAUAUAUAUAUAUAUAUAUAUAUAUAUAUAUAUAUAUAGUGUAUGUUCAUAUAUACACAUGCUGAGAAUCGCAGUGUGAUGAGCUGUUUAUAGAUGGAAUUCAAAUCUUACAAUAAUGACUCAGUGACAUUAGGUAUAGAAUACAGAUAUGAAACCUUCUUGUAGUAGGAUAUAUUUUGAAAUUCGCCCUUCAUCAGAAUUGUGUGCCACCAUUAAAAGUAACAUUGCUUUUGUUGUCCUGUUAUACGGCCAGUAUACCUCCUUCCUACUAUAGUCUUCUGGGUCCUGCGCUUUAUAGUAGCACGUUUAACCUGUCAGAGACUUCUCUUUAUUUUGCUGCUGAAUCUAGGGUAAAAGAAGAAAAUAUUUAUUUUUUAAAAAAAGGAGCAACAUGUUUUCUUGAUUUUUUUUCCAUUAAACCUAACAUUUUAAAUGAAAAACAACAUGUGCAGUGAUACCUAGGAUUAUUAAUGUAUGCAUGGGAAAUAUUGAAAUAAUGGUUUUGUGCCUGAGAAAUAACAGUGCUGCUGCAGCAAUCUAUAAAUGUGAACUCUAUACGCGUGUGUUUGUGUAUAUAUAUAUAUAUAUAUAUAGAUACACACACGCAAAUAUAUGUGUAUAUAAAUACAGUUUGUGUAGUGAAAGCAAUUAAAAAUAAUACUAUAUAUAUAUUUAAGAUUUUAUUCUAAAAUAUUUAUUAAUUAAAGAAUGCUUUAGAAUUCCAAAGUAAAACUGUUGGACUAGAUUUAUGGAGAAGUGUACAAAAUACUGUACUGCCUCUUCAAAUCUAUGUGUAAUAACUGCUUUAUUUAAAUGUCUACAAACGUGUGCUUGAUAAAUAUGCUCUUUAUAAUAAUAUGGAAUUGACAGUC